UACAGAGGUCUCAAGCGUUGUUCGGAUUCAUUGGGCGUAAAGGGUGCGUAGGCGGCGCGGUAAGUCGGGUGUGAAAUCUCGGAGCUUAACUCCGAAACUGCAUUCGAUACUGCCGUGCUUGAGGACUGGAAAGGAGACUGGAAUUUACGGUGUAGCGGUGAAAUGCGUAGAUAUCGUAAGGAAGACCAGUGGCGAAGGCGGGUCUCUGGACAGUUCCUGACGCUGAGGCACGAAGGCCAGGGGACCAAACGGG
rnacentral:rRNA from 1 species